rnacentral:pre_miRNA from 1 species
GGUCUAGUGAUGGUAGCAAAUUAGUAUAUUGAAAACUAAAUUUGCGACCAAUCCAGGACCCG